CAGCAGCCGCGGGAAUACGUAGGGUGCGAGCGUUAAUCGGAAUUACUGGGCGUAAAGCGUGCGCAGGCGGUUUUGUAAGACAGGCGUGAGAUCCCCGGGCUCAACCUGAGAAUGGCGCUUGUGACUGCAAAGCUAGAGUGCGGCAGAGGGGGAUGGAAUUCCGCGUGUAGCAGUGAAAUGCGCAGAUAUGCGGAGGAACACCGAUGGCGAAGGCAAUCCCCUGGGCCUGCACUGACGCUCAUGCACGAAAGCGUGGGGAGCAAACAGGAUUAGAUACCCGAGUAGUCCCUGUCUCUUAUAC
rnacentral:rRNA from 1 species